rnacentral:rRNA from 1 species
UACGGAGGGUGCGAGCGUUGUUCGGAAUCACUGGGCGUAAAGCGCGUGUAGGCGGCUCGGUAAGUCUGCUGUGAAAGUCCAGGGCUCAACCCUGGGAUGCCGGUGGAUACUGUCGAGCUCGAGUCCGGAAGAGGCGAGUGGAAUUCCUGGUGUAGCGGUGAAAUGCGCAGAUAUCAGGAGGAACACCAAUGGCGAAGGCAGCUCGCUGGGACGUGACUGACGCUGAGACGCGAAAGCGUGGGGAGCAAACAGG